CCACUGGUGGCUCAGUGGUAGAAUUCUCGCCUUCCAUGCAGGAGACCCAGGUUCAAUUCCCGGCCAAUGCA
rnacentral:tRNA from 1 species